AGUCGAGCGGAUGAGAAGAGCUUGCUCUUCGAUUCAGCGGCGGACGGGUGAGUAAUGCCUAGGAAUCUGCCUGGUAGUGGGGGACAACGUUUCGAAAGGAACGCUAAUACCGCAUACGUCCUACGGGAGAAAGCAGGGGACCUUCGGGCCUUGCGCUAUCAGAUGAGCCUAGGUCGGAUUAGCUAGUUGGUGAGGUAAUGGCUCACCAAGGCGACGAUCCGUAACUGGUCUGAGAGGAUGAUCAGUCACACUGGAACUGAGACACGGUCCAGACUCCUACGGGAGGCAGCAGUGGGGAAUAUUGGACAAUGGGCGAAAGCCUGAUCCAGCCAUGCCGCGUGUGUGAAGAAGGUCUUCGGAUUGUAAAGCACUUUAAGUUGGGAGGAAGGGUUGUUUCCUAAUACGAAGCAAUUUUGACGUUACCGACAGAAUAAGCACCGGCUAACUCUGUGCCAGCAGCCGCGGUAAUACAGAGGGUGCAAGCGUUAAUCGGAAUCACUGGGCGUAAAGCGCGCGUAGGUGGUUUGUUAAGUUGAAUGUGAAAUCCCCGGGCUCAACCUGGGAACUGCAUCCAAAACUGGCAAGCUAGAGUAGGGCAGAGGGUGGUGGAAUUUCCUGUGUAGCGGUGAAAUGCGUAGAUAUAGGAAGGAACACCAGUGGCGAAGGCGACCACCUGGGCUCAUACUGACACUGAGGUGCGAAAGCGUGGGGAGCAAACAGGAUUAGAUACCCUGGUAGUCCACGCCGUAAACGAUGUCAACUAGCCGUUGGGAGUCUUGAACUCUUAGUGGCGCAGCUAACGCAUUAAGUUGACCGCCUGGGGAGUACGGCCGCAAGGUUAAAACUCAAAUGAAUUGAC
rnacentral:rRNA from 1 species